rnacentral:sRNA from 1 species
AUUUUAUCGAGUUUGGCUAUGAUUUUGGUAUAAUUUUAAGAGGCUUUUUGUUAUUUUUAGAAUUUUUUUCAGGUUUUUACACGUUUAAAAUGUAUUUGAAGAUUAUAGAGCAUUUUGGAGAAAAAACAAGAAGUUAUGCUGCAAAAGCAAUCUGAAGACCAAAAUUGGUGUAGAU